ACGCUCGACACCUACAGGAGGCAGCAUGGGGAAUAUUGCACAAUGGGGGAAACCCUGAUGCAGCGACGCCGCGUGAAGGAAGAAGUAUUUCGGUAUGUAAACUUCUAUCAGCAGGGAAGAAACUGACGGUACCUGACUAAGAAGCACCGGCUAAAUACGUGCCAGCAGCCGACGGUAAUCUGAGGCGGCUGGCAAGGC
rnacentral:rRNA from 1 species